GGGUCAGAUCACUACCAGAGAAGAGAGCACCACCUUACACUCAAGGACGUGCAUACCUAACGAGUACACAUUCAUAAAUAACACCAGGAGAGAAGAUCAUCGAGAUAGACCUGAAGCACACGAACAUCACCAACACAUAAACCAAAUCGAGAGAGGUUAAAAUCCUUAACCGUCGCUGCACACAUCCUUCAAUCCCAACUAAGACUCGCCAUUGAACCUUGAUUGUGCUCUCCAUGCGCCUCAUACGCCCAACACCCCACAUCGAAGUGUAUAAAAGCUUACUGAACACGUCUUAUUCACACAACCGAUAGUUGGAUAAAAACCACUCCAAAUCCAGAACAAUCACAAACAAAUCUAGGUGGCAAUUGACCAACAAGGAGCACUCGCUCCUAAAAACUUCUAUCUACCUCCGAUUCUCCUCGAAACUAGCAUUCAUUUUAUAUAGCUCCUUCCUUAAAACUAGCAUUCAUUUUAUAUAGCUCGUGAGAAAAUAUUAUCGUUAUGUCACAUCAUUUUUUAUAAU
rnacentral:lncRNA from 1 species